rnacentral:rRNA from 1 species
AAACUCCUACGGGAGGCAGCAGUGGGGAAUAUUGCACAAUGGGCGAAAGCCUGAUGCAGCAACGCCGCGUGAGUGAUGAAGGCCUUCGGGUCGUAAAACCCUGUCCUCAAGGAAGAUAAUGACGGUACUUGAGGAGGAAGCCCCGGCUAACUACGUGCCAGCAGCCGCGGUAAUACGUAGGGGGCUAGCGUUAUCCGGAUUUACUGGGCGUAAAGGGUGCGUAGGCGGUCUUUCAAGUCAGGAGUGAAAGGCU